rnacentral:rRNA from 1 species
AACGAACGCUGGCGGCAUGCCUAACACAUGCAAGUCGAACGAGACCUUCGGGUCUAGUGGCGCACUGGUGCGUAACGCGUGGGAACCUGCCCUUAGGUUCGGAAUAACUCCCCGAAAGGGGUGCUAAUACCGGCUAAUGUCUUCGGACCAAAGAUUUAUCGCCUUUGGAUGGGCCCGCGUUGGAUUAGCUAGUUGGUAGGGUAAAAGCCUACCACUGCGACGAUCCAUAGCUGGUCUGAGAGGAUGAUCAGCCACACUGGGACUGAGACACGGCCCAGACUACUACGGGAGGCAGCAGUGGGGAAUAUUGGAAAAUGGGCGAAAGCCUGAUCCAGCAAUGACGCGUGAGUGAUGAAGGCCUUAGGGUUGUAAAGCUAUUUUACCCGGGAUGAUAAUGACAGUACCGGGAGAAUAAGCUCCGGCUAACUCCGUG